GAUGAACGCUGGCGGCGUGCUUAACACAUGCAAGUCGAGCGAAGCACUCUGUCUGAUUUCUUCGGAUUGAAGGCGGUUUGACUGAGCGGCGGACGGGUGAGUAACGCGUGGGUAACCUGCCUUACACAGGGGGAUAACAGUUAGAAAUGACUGCUAAUACCGCAUAACCCGCUAGGGCCGCAUGGCCUGGACGGAAAAGAUUUUAUCGGUGUAAGAUGGACCCGCGUCUGAUUAGCUGGUUGGUGAGGUAACGGCUCACCAAGGCGACGAUCAGUAGCCGACCUGAGAGGGUGAUCGGCCACAUUGGGACUGAGACACGGCCCAA
rnacentral:rRNA from 1 species